rnacentral:rRNA from 1 species
AUUGAACGCUGGCGGCAGGCCUAACACAUGCAAGUCGAGCGGAGCGGCGGACGGGUGAGUAAUGCCUAGGAAUCUGCCUGGUCGUGGGGGAUAACGUCCGGAAACGGGCGCUAAUACCGCAUACUAUCAGAUUAGCCUAGGCCGCAUUAGCUUUGUGGGGGGGUAAAGGCCUACCAAGGCGACGAUCCGUAACUGGUCUGAGAGGAUGAUCAGUCACACUGGAACGGAGACACGGUCAAGACUGCUACGGGAGGCAGCAGGGGGGAAUAGUGGACAAUGGGCGAAAGCCUGAUCCAGCCAUGCCGCGUGUGUGAAGAAGGUCUUCGGGUUGUAAAGCACUUUAAGUUGGGAGGCGUUACCAGCAGAAUAAGCACCGGCUAACUUCGUGCCAGCAGCCGCGGUAAUUC